rnacentral:rRNA from 1 species
CCUACGGGUGGCAGCAGUCGAGAAUCAUUCACAAUGGGGGAAACCCUGAUGGUGCGACGCCGCGUGGGGGAAUGAAGGUCUUCGGAUUGUAAACCCCUGUCAUGUGGGAGCAAAUUAAAAAGAUAGUACCACAAGAGGAAGAGACGGCUAACUCUGUGCCAGCAGCCGCGGUAAUACAGAGGUCUCAAGCGUUGUUCGGAAUCACUGGGCGUAAAGCGUGCGUAGGCUGUUUCGUAAGUCGUGUGUGAAAGGCGCGGGCUCAACCCGCGGACGGCACAUGAUACUGCGAGACUAGAGUAAGGGAGGGGGAACCGGAAUUCUCGGUGUAGCAGUGAAAUGCGUAGAUAUCGCGAGGAACACUCGUGGCGAAGGCGGGUUCCUGGACAUUAACUGACGCUGAGGCACGAAGGCCAGGGGAGCGAAAGGGAUUAGAUACCCUGGUAGUC